UACGGGGGGAGCAAGCGUUGUUCGGAUUUACUGGGCGUAAAGGGCGCGUAGGCGGUCAGCACAAGUCAGUUGUGAAAUCUCCGGGCUUAACUCGGAAAGGUCAACUGAUACUGUGCGACUAGAGUGCGGAAGGGGCAACUGGAAUUCUCGGUGUAGCGGUGAAAUGCGUAGAUAUCGAGAGGAACACCAGCGGCGAAGGCGGCAUCCUGGACUGGUCCUGACACUCAGGAGCGAAAGCGUGGGGAGCGAUCCGG
rnacentral:rRNA from 1 species